UACGUAGGGGGCAAGCGUUGUCCGGAAUUAUUGGGCGUAAAGAGCGCGUAGGCGGUCCGAUAAGUCGGCUGUGAAAGUCCAGGGCUCAACCCUGGAAAGCCGGUGGAUACUGUCGGGCUAGAGUUCGGAAGAGGCGAGUGGAAUUCCUGGUGUAGCGGUGGAAUGCGCAGAUAUCAGGAGGAACACCGAUGGCGAAGGCAGCUCGCUGGGACGGUACUGAGCUAAGGCGCAAAA
rnacentral:rRNA from 1 species